rnacentral:rRNA from 1 species
ACAGCAGCCGCCGCGGGAAUACAGAGGGUGCGAGCGUUAAUCGGAUUUACUGGGCGUAAAGCGUGCGUAGGCGGCUUUUUAAGUCGGAUGUGAAAUCCCUGAGCUUAACUUAGGAAUUGCAUUCGAUACUGGGAAGCUAGAGUAUGGGAGAGGAUGGUAGAAUUCCAGGUGUAGCGGUGAAAUGCGUAGAGAUCUGGAGGAAUACCGAUGGCGAAGGCAGCCAUCUGGCCUAAUACUGACGCUGAGGUACGAAAGCAUGGGGAGCAAACAGGAUUAGAUACCCGUGUAGUCCCUGUCUCUUAUAU